UACAGAGGGGGCAAGCGUUAUUCGGAAUUAUUGGGCGUAAAGGGCGCGUAGGCGGCCUGACAAGUGGAAGGUGAAAUCCCUCGGCUUAACCGAGGAACUGCCCUCCAAACUGUCUGGCUUGAGACCGGGAGAGGUGAGUGGAAUUCCCAGUGUAGCGGUGAAAUGCGUAGAUAUUGGGAGGAACACCAGUGGCGAAGGCGGCUCACUGGACCGGUACUGACGCUGAUGCGCGAAAGCCAGGGGAGCAAACGGG
rnacentral:rRNA from 1 species